rnacentral:misc_RNA from 1 species
AUGAUUGCGAAUCGUUGUCUGCAGUGCUGGCCGGGUCGCUCUGGCAAGUGCACGCAGACAGCUUUCAUCCAAUACCCUGUGAACCUUUGGCCUCUUGCUAGCUUCGGCCAGCAGAGGAUUUUACACACUCGAAUGUAAUGAAAUUAUUGUUGUGCGCAGCACUACUAUA